rnacentral:rRNA from 1 species
AUUGAACGCUGGCGGCAGGCUUAACACAUGCAAGUCGAACGAGCGGCGGACGGGUGAGUAAUGUCUGGGAGACUGCCUGAUGGAGGGGGAUAACUACUGGAAACUGUAGCUAAUACCGCAUAUCAUCGGAUGUGCCCAGAUGGGAUUAGCUAGUAGGGGGGGUAAGGGCUCACCUAGGCGACGAUCCCUAGCUGGUCUGGGAGGGUGACCAGCCAGACUGGAAAUGUGACACGGUCCCGACUGCUACGGGAGGCAGCAGAGGGGAAUAUUGCACGCUGGGCGGAAGCAUUAUGCAGAAAUGCCGCGUGUAUGAAGAAGGCCUUCGGGUUGUAAAGUAAUUUCAGCGGGGAGGCGUUACCCGCAGAAGAAGCACCGGCUAACUCCGUGCCAGCAGCCGCGGUAAUUC